UGGCUUAAUGAUUAAGCACUUGGCUACUAACCAAAAGGUUGGUGGUUCAAACCUACC
rnacentral:tRNA from 1 species